rnacentral:misc_RNA from 1 species
UGCCUUGUCACCAACAUGCCUAUCUUUGCAGGAGCAAUGAGGGGACCCUACUGCCCAGAUAGGGGCCUUACCAUCUCCAGAAACUGCCCGCUUUUCUCACCUGGACCCUCUGCAGCUGAUGUUUUCUUCUUACAACAACGGACAUAGAAAAUAAUAAUAACAAAAAUAGCAGCAGCAGCAACAGCAGAAACAUGGAAUGUCUGCCAAUGACUCUGAAGCACCAGCACUUUCCCUGAAAAAAAGGGACUUGUUAUACACUGGGCAGAGAGCCACAGCCAUCCCUGCUGUCCCUACCCUGGCCUGACCCUCUCCAGGGUCACCCUAGGCUCACCAGAGGGCACAGGGUGAGUGCUGUGAUUCCCGCUGUGUUCCAUGUAGCAGGUGAACCUCUGCUCCUCUCCUUGGCAAAUCCUGGUGGCCACCCAGGUCUGGUAGGUUCCAUUCCCAUCAGGCAGGACAUCCCCCCACUGCUGGGUGUCGUGGCUCAAAGAUACCCCAUCCUGACGCCAGGUCAGUGUGAUAUUCCGGGGAUAGAAGCUGGAAGCCCUGCAUGUCACGGUGAUGUUGCCCUCUGAGGCCUCGCUGCGGGUGACAUUCACCAUGGGGGGCACUGGAGAAGAAAGGGCAGAGCCAGUGAAGCCCUGCUCCCCUCUAAGGAGGGGAGAGGAACAGGGCUGUUUCUCUUCACUGUUCUCACUCUGGCUGAAGCCCUCCGGGACCCCUGACCUGCAAGUCUA